GACGAACGCUGGCGGCGUGCCUAAUACAUGCAAGUAGAACGCUGAAGGAGGAGCUUGCUCUUCUGGAUGAGUUGCGAACGGGUGAGUAACGCGUAGGUAACCUGCCUGGUAGCGGGGGAUAACUAUUGGAAACGAUAGCUAAUACCGCAUAACAGUAGAUGUUGCAUGACAUUUACUUAAAAGGUGCAAUUGCAUCACUACCAGAUGGACCUGCGUUGUAUUAGCUAGUUGGUGGGGUAACGGCUCACCAAGGCGACGAUACAUAGCCGACCUGAGAGGGUGAUCGGCCACACUGGGACUGAGACACGGCCCAGACUCCUACGGGAGGCAGCAGUAGGGAAUCUUCGGCAAUGGACGGAGGUCUGACCGAGCAACGCCGCGUGAGUGAAGAAGGGUUUCGGAUCGUAAAGCUCUGUUGUAAGAGAAGAACGAGUGUGAGAGUGGAAAGUUCACACUGUGACGGUAUCUUACCAGAAAGGGACGGCUAACUACGUG
rnacentral:rRNA from 1 species